AGAAGUCGUACCAAGGUUUUCGUAGGGGACCUUGCGAAAGGAUCAUAAU
rnacentral:rRNA from 1 species